GACGAACGCUGGCGGCGUGCUUAACACAUGCAAGUCGUACGGUAAGGCCCUUUCGGGGGUACACGAGUGGCGAACGGGUGAGUAACACGUGAGUAACCUGCCCACAACUUUGGGAUAACGCUAGGAAACUGGUGCUAAUACUGGAUAUGUGCUCCUGCUGCAUGGUGGGGGUUGGAAAGCUCCGGCGGUUGUGGAUGGACUCGCGGCCUAUCGGCGUGUUGGUGGGGUAGUGGCCUACCAAGGCGGCGACGGGUAGCCGGCCUGAGAGGGUGACCGGCCACAUUGGGACUGAGAUGCGGCCCAGACUCCUAAGGGAGGAAGCAGUGGGGAAUAUUGCACAAUGGGCGCCAGCCUGAUGCAGCAACGCCGCGUGCGGGAUGACGGCCUUCGGGUUGUAAACCGCUUUCAGCAGGGACGAAGCUUUUUGUGACGGUACCUGCAGAAGAAGCACCGGCUAACUACGUG
rnacentral:rRNA from 1 species